rnacentral:rRNA from 1 species
CGCCAGUCUGCAUGGAGCCGACCUUGAAAUACCACCCUUUAAUGUUUGAUGUUCUAACGUGGACCCGUGAUCCGGGUUGCGGACAGUGUCUGGUGGGUAGUUUGACUGGGGCGGUCUCCUCCUAAAGAGUAACGGAGGAGCACGAAGGUUGGCUAAUCCUGGUCGGACAUCAGGAGGUUAGUGCAAUGGCAUAAGCCAGCUUGACUGCGAGCGUGACGGCGCGAGCAGGUGCGAAAGCAGGUCAUAGUGAUCCGGUGGUUCUGAAUGGAAGGGCCAUCGCUCAACGGAUAAAAGGUACUCCGGGGAUAACAGGCUGAUACCGCCCAAGAGUUCAUAUCGACGGCGGUGUUUGGCACCUCGAUGUCGGCUCAUCACAUCCUGGGGCUGAAGUAGGUCCCAAGGGUAUGGCUGUUCGCCAUUUAAAGUGGUACGCGAGCUGGGUUUAGAACGUCGUGAGACAGUUCGGUCCCUAUCUGCCGUGGGCGCUGGAGAACUGAGGGGGGCUGCUCCUAGUACGAGAGGACCGGAGUGGACGCAUCACUGGUGUUCGGGUUGUCAUGCCAAUGGCACUGCCCGGUAGCUAAAUGCGGAAGAGAUAAGUGCUGAAAGCAUCUAAGCACGAAACUUGCC